rnacentral:snRNA from 1 species
GGAUAUGGGGGCAAACUGGCUGCAACAUUUGUCAUCCCAUUGAUCUCCAGAGUUGAUUCAGCUGAUGUGGCUGGCAAGACAAGUGUCUCCUUCCUCCCUCACUGCUCCAUGUACAUCCCUCCAUCAAAGAGAAUGGUAUGCUAAGUCAAAGAGGAUGACCAUCACUGAUAGAGGAGGACCGCUCUUCAAUCCAGUGUACAUGAGUGACUGUGCUCGUCUGUUACAACCUUCAAACAAGCUCUCAAACUGUGCCUCAGGUGCAGAGAGCAGCCUGUGCCAGGUCACACUCAGAUCAGCAUUUGCACUAGUCUGAUGC